CCAGAUCAGAUCAAUUCCAAAGUAAAAGCCUUGGAAUUUCCUCAAAUGUACCCCCUCUUCUUUAUUUUCUUUAUCAAAAACUCAAAGGGCCUCCUGAGUAGGACCACGUGACUUGGGCUCAGAACCUUGGCAAGUCCGAGCCCAAGUCCGGGCUUUUAAUCACUGGGCCGCUAUGAUAUGACAUUACUCAGUGUGACAUUCCAAAAAAACACAUUCAAAAGAUUUUGAGUGUGCAAUAUUUAACACCAUCCCAUACACAUAUAAGUGCUUUCUUGCAUUUGUAAUGUGUGUGUGCACGUGUGUGUGAGAGAGAGAGAGAGAAGUAAUUGAGAAGCACGUUUCCUAAAGUUCGUAUUUAACAUUGUACUGUAGUUUAUAAUAUCUAUUGUAGUUUGUUGCACAGCCAUCAGUAUUGCAGCUACUUGUGUACAAAGUUUUGUUUAUUUUCUCCAGAUAAAAAAUUUGCAUUAGCGUAACAUGAAUGACAGAUAUGACGGUGAAUCGUACCGCUAGCUCUCUUCAACCAUUAUCCCCCGCCACCUCCAGCAUUAUCUCCAUCCCUGUUGCCUCUGCCGCCAACCUCGCAAUAUUAUUCAAAUUCUCUCUUGUAGGGGUCUUCCAUCACCAGAGAGAUGAUGCCAAAGGGCUAGAAGUUUGGGCCAGGGAGGUUUAGAAGGAACCAAACUUGAAAUGCAGACAACUCUCCGAUGGAUCCUAUCUGUUUUCCUUCCCCUCCCUCGCAGGGGGGGCCCAGAGAGCAUUUAGUGUAUCUUCCAAGGUCUCUUUUAGGGGCGCUAUCCUUCAUCUGUCUUUGUGGUCCGAAGAGUUGGGUGCCUUCCAGUGCCAAAAUGUUUGGCUCACGGCCACCUCCAUCCCGCUGAAUGCUUGGUGCCUCGACUCCUUCAAGGCAAUCAGGAACGCUUGCGGAUCUUUUGUGGCUGUCCCCUGGAAAUCCAUGGACAGCCUCCCACUUGGGUCCUUGAGGCUGAUCAUAGACAUGUUGGACCCUCUUCUCAUCCCCCCGUUUGUGUGGCUUGAAGUGGGGGGAGUAUAUUAUCAGGCUCUCUUAACUUGGUCUGCGGCCUCCCCUCCAUUGCCCCGCUACAUUUCUACGGUAGAGCAGUUCCGGUCCGGAUCUCAUAACCCUUGGACCGUGGUGUCCAUUAAGCAACGCAAUCUUAACAAGUGGCACCCCCCUCCCCUCCCCCCCCCCGCCCCACCCCACCCCACCUUUGCCUCCACCACCUUCGCCUCCACCACAGGCUCCUCCCCUCCCCCAGAGUCUCAACCCUCCCUGCCCCACUGCUCCGUCCUCGACACCCGCCAUAGCCGCAUCGGUGACAGUAUCGCGUGUCAAGGAGAACACGCAUCGCCCUAAGCCUAUCUCGAGUCAGGUUGAGCCCACCCGUUCCUAGCCUUGCCAUCUUGCCUUCUUUAAUGAACCCUACAACCAGCCGCCCUCAUUUAAUUCCCUCACACAGUUGGCGCAUGUUUUGGUCUCUUCUGACCUCACGCCUUCCCACUCCUCGUACCGCUCUACCUUACCACCGCCAUUUUCGCCUUAGACAAACACUUGGAUGCACGUCUCCCCUCCGUCUGCACUUGUCACCCCCCCCUCUUUACCCGAGGUCCCCAAACCCCCGGCUUCGCCCACCCCUCUAUCACUUAUAGUCUUUGACUCCCUACCCUUAUCCUCUCACAUACCCAUUCCCGCUCUCAAUCCUUUCCUCAAACAGUCGCUCUACCUGUCGCUGCCCGAGGAAAGACCACCCCAUCUUGAGCUAUGCUUGCAAGCGUUGUCGGAGCCUUUUCAGUCUCCCCGACUUUCGCGUUCACCCACCUUGGCCACCCCUUCUGCUCCCUGCCCCCCCACUCUAUCCUUCACUCCCUCUCUCACCCCUUUCAACUCAAGCCCCUGGCACCCAUCUUCACCUCACCACCCCUCUGGUGACCCUUCUCUCUACCCCCCCUCCCCUCAUCAACUCUGGCCCUUCUUCUGUUGCAGUGGAGGAUUCCAAUGACUGCCCUGUUCCUUCGGUAAUUCCUAUAGCCGUUGAGCCACCCCUUGACCUGAACCCACGUUUCUUCUCUCAGGUGGUAGCACAUGUGGCCUUUUGGCCGAUGCUUUGACGGCCCUUAUCAGCAGCGACCCCUUCAUUGUUUCCGUUCCUAAAGGAGAGCAUGGCUUUUCUAAGCACUCAAUCCCAACCUCGUCACCCCCUUCCCUCAAUCUUGCUCGAGUCAGGACGUCUCUCACUGAUACCAGCGCUCCUACGCUUAAUCCUCAGUUGCGCUCUCUGCCUCAUUCUCCACUUUAUCCUCCUUCAUCUUCACCCCCAUUUCCCCUUCCUUGUAUCUCUCCCCUUCAUUCUCCUUCGCCUCUCUUGGAUCUGAAGUUUUCCUCUUCAAAGGAUCCUAUUGGACUGACAUCCGGCAUCCCCAAACCCACUGCGGAUAACAGCCUUCCCUCCCUGGGUUUACCGGCCUCUCCUCCUGUCGUUGCGGCUAUUUCGCCUACUCGGUCAGCCUGGUCUUUAGACUCUUUCGGGGACCCCCUUUCCCCCCCUAGGUGAACUCAGAAUACGCUGACAGUGUCGAGGCAGCACAAGGUGAUAUUCUCGAUAUCAUGAACGUGAUAGGUUUCCCUUUUUCUAGACCCAAUGGGCUGUUUCAAGAGUUCUUUAAGGCCGACGUACAGUCUAAACUUAGGGUUUGCAAGAAUGGCAGCCGAGAGCCUUGGAACGUGGUCAGUAGUGUUAUCUAUGACGAACCCUCCUCUCGUCUUUCAGUCUCCCCUGCUAUCUCGCAAAUGUCCCCCAAGGGGUUCCCGCUAAGACGUUCCCUAUGGAGCUUCCCUCUCUCUAUCUCCCCCUCAUGUUGAUGAUACUUUCAUGGAAUAUUCACGAGCUCGGCAUGCCCAACAAAAUGCAAACGGUUAGGGAUCAUUGGUUCAGGCUAUGUCCCUCAAUUUUGGUGCUCACCGAGACCAAACUACCUUGCCCCUCCCUGGUGCAGGUUAGGCAUGUGUGGGGUCGGCACCCUUGCCAAUGUGUUGCCCUCCCGGCUACCGGUGCCUCUGGGGACAUCUGGGUCAGUUAGGACCCCACUGCCCAUUCUUUGGUCUCCUCCCACACUGUCAGGUUCUUUGUUUUGAUUUUGCUUUCUAGGUUGCUCGACGAUCUCCAGUGGAAGUUUUCAGCCAUCCAUGGGCCUAAUGGCGACUCUCUUAGAUCCGAACUCUAGAACGAACUCAACGCUAUAGCCUCUCUCCCUCAUCCCAUUUGGUGCUUGGGGGGGGAUUUUAAUGUCACCCGGUGGUCUUUUGAAAGGAACACUUUUUCAAGGAUCACCCCGACUAUGACAGCUUUCUCGGAUUUGUCGACCGGCUCAACCUCAUCGACCAACCCACUCAAGGGACCCAGUUUGCAUGGUCCAACCACUCCCCCUCUCCUACCUUAUCUAAACUCAAUCGUUUUCUGGUCACUUUAGAAUGGGACCGCACCUUCGCGGGGUCUCAUGUGGUCGCCCUACCCAAACCUACAUCCAACCACUACUCCAUCGUGCUCAAUACCAAUCCCGUCGUAAGAGGACCUAAACCAUUCAAGUUCGAGCUGGCAUGAAUAGAGGAAUCUUCUCUUCUUGUACACCUUCUGGCUUGGUGGCAGUCCCUUUUGGGAUUGGUUUUCAGAUGGGCAGGCUUUAGGAUUCAACGUAAUUCCAACUUAUGAAGAUUCCACCUUAAAAAUUGGAGCAGGCAGCUUCUGAGCUUCACUGGGUCCCACAAAAGUUCCACUCUGGAAGCCAUUCAAGCUCUAGCUUCUUAGAAGAAUCGAGGCCACUAUUUGACCCAGAGACCAAGAGUAAAAGCCAGCUUAAAAUGGAAUAUCAGUCUAUUCUCAAGGAGGAUGAACUUUUCUGGUAUCAGAGAUCCAGAAUUAGGUGGCUUAAGGCUAGGAUUUAAACAUCGGUUUCUUCCAUAAAGCCGCCAAUUGUAGACGUAGGGAUAAUUCCAUUUCCCAUCAUAUGGUGGGGGAUACUCUUAUUAACCAACCCCUUGAGAUUGAACUGGCCAAACUUUCUUACUUUAAGAACAUGUUUUCCGCCCCUAAUCGUCCUAUACCAAUCAUGGGGGACAUUUCCUUUCUCUCACUCCCUCCCGAUAAAGCCUUCUGACUGGAACGACCAUUUUUGGAAUCUGAGAUCCUAGAAGCAAUUUCACAUUCAUACUCAGAUAGAGCCCCCGGGCCGGAUGGGCAUCCUAUAGCCCCUUUCAAACUUUUUUGGGAUGCUUUUCGAAUUGAUUUCUUGACCCUCUUUGAAGAAUUUCAUUCUAGGGAGGUUAUUAGCCUAACUAUGAUUGCCACAUUCCUUACUCUUAUACCCAAAAUUGAAGGAGCCAGACAGCUUAAAGACUUUCGCCCCAUUAGCCUGGUGAAUUCCUCCUACAAAAUCAUCUCUAAGGUCUUGGCAUCUCGAUUCAAAGAGGUCCUCCCUCUCGUCAUCUCUCCUUCUCAAAGUGCUUUCAUCAAAGAUCGUUAGAUCCUUGACGGGGCCCUCGUGGCUCACAAGUGCAUUCACUCCAGGUACCUUUCCAAAGAACCAGGCAUAAUUGUCAAGCUCGAUUGGGAGAAAGCAUAUGACCAUGUUGACUGGGAUAUCCUUGAAGAACCUCAAUUGAGGAUGGGUUUCAGUAUUAGGUGGAGAUCUUGGAUGAAAGCUUGUUACUCUAACCCCUUUUUCUCCAUCCUUGUAAAUGGAUCACCCAAAGGAUACUUCCCCUCUUCCAAGGGACUUAGGCAAGGCAACCCCCUCUCCCCCUUGUUGUUCGCCAUUUCAGUUGAAGUCUUUAGUCAGUCAAUUUCCAGGAUGUAUUCAGCGGGACACUUGCAUGGGUUCAGCGCAAUAACCGCAGUUUCCAGGGAGAGUAUUCUCCAUGGUACAAGACGUUUGUCAUGCUCAAAUCCUUGGUUGUUUUUUGGGCGACCAAUUAUCCGCUGUUCAAAGGGCUACCGGCGACGGCUUUGCAUCAGAAUUGGACUGCUGUCCUUCAACACUGACACACUCGCCCUGGUAGGUCUACUACUAAAGGCCCCCACCUCUGGAAUUCCUCAAGCUCAACUUCGAUGGAUGUUCCUUUGGAAACCCUGGGCCUUCGGUAAUAGGAGCAAUCCUUAAAGACUCCCUCGGAGAGAUGGUGGCUUCAAUCUCCAAAUCCAUUGGACACGCCGACUCUAUGGAGGCUGAGGCGGCAGCUCUGUAGGAGGGGCUGAAGCUCAUACAACCCCUCAAUCUGCACUCCUUACACAGAGGGAGAUUCCAAGAACAUCAUAUAGUGGGCCUCGAUGCAACCACCCCCCCCCCCCAAUGGUUCCUUGCUCACUAUUUUGACGAGAUCCACUACCUUGGCAGGGAUAUGCACAUCAUCUGUGCGCAUAUUUGGAGGGAAGGGAACAAGGCAGCAGACGCGCUUGCUAAAGAAGGAGCAGCCAUGGAGGGACACUAGCAGUUUUUGGAUGGUUGUUUUUUCUUUUGGGUUGUUCCUUACCUUCCCACAGAAGGAUCUCCGUCUGCUUCCUGUUUUUCUAUUUUUUCCAUUGGAACGUCCGUUGUGUGGAUUACCCAACCGAUUGUACCUCCUUAUUCAUUUAAUUCAAGGUUAACAUUCUCAAAAAAAAAACAUUGUAUUGUGGUUUCCGUUCUACUGCAUAAAGUUUAUUUCAACAAACCAGGUAUAGGAUCUUCUGUAUCUUAACACAAUAAAAUAACUUUGUUUUAGGUAGUUCAGUGUUAGGAUUUGAACUUGAGAUAUAGAAUUGCUUAUAUCAACUGCUAACCAGUCAAGCUCAAGCCCAAUACCUAAAAUUUAAAACCCAUAGAAAGUAAUCAUACCAUUUCACACUCGAAGAAGAAAACAUAGCACCACCAACUAUUAUCAGUAUUAUUAUUAAUUGAUAGAAAGCUAUCAGGAAAAAAAAAAUUGGUGUAAAUAC
rnacentral:lncRNA from 1 species